UGCUGAUAUAAGUCUCUCAGAUAACAAACAAACAUAGAACCACUUUAUUUAUGUAAAAAUACUAAUGCAUAAUCCUUCAAGUUCUUGACAUGAACCGAGCACGAAGCACCCCUUAUUCCCAAUUUAACAACGUUGAUGGAUCGAGCGUUUUAUUCAGUUUUACGCCAAAUAUUUUUUCUUAUAUAAGUCCACCACUUCCUUAGGAUCAGCUUUUGUUUGAAUGUAGCUAUCAAGCUUGUUCAGUUCCUCUGUCCAUUUUGCUAGUUUUGGCCUCCCAGAUGUGAUAUCAUAAUUUAACCCCUCUUUCAAGAAGAUUUGGAACCUUUCAACGAAGGGAGCAUACACGAUAUCGACCUGACUGAAUUGACCUAGGAAGAAAGGUCCGUCAUCAAAUUUGUCGAGAGCUUUUUCUAAGUAGUCAAAUUGAGGUCCAGCAUGCUUUUCAAUAUCUCCUUUGAAGUUGGCAUAUAUUUCUUUCAGGAACGUAUCACUGUAAGCUAUCAACUCUUCAGCAAACUUCUGUUUUUCAGGGUCAUCAGGUAGAAGAAACGGACCCUCAAAGUUGCUGUCGAUAUAUUUAACCAGAUCGAGACUUUCUCCAAUCACUUUGUUGUUGUGUUCCAGAGAGGGCACCUUAUUUUGAGGGUAAACUUUUUCCUUGUACCAAACAGGCCUGUUCUGAAGAUCAAUUGGAACUAAUUCGAUCUUAUCUUGCAAACCCUUGAAAUUUCUGGCAAUCCAUGGACGCUGUGCAAAAGGGCAUACAUAACUGAUAUACAACCUUGUAGUUCCAUCAAACAGGGCUGGCGAUUCGGAAGUAGAAUCAAGAGAUGCAGGACGAAUUUCUUGUACACUUGGAGUAGCCAUUAAUGUUGCUGGGAAGAUAUAAUUUUUGAGUUUUUGAUGAUCAAAUGUGAAGAUAAAAAUUGCAUAUAUUUAUAGGGUGAUGGAGAGGUUUGGG
rnacentral:misc_RNA from 1 species